AGAACGAACGCUGGCGGCAUGCCUAAUACAUGCAAGUCGAACGAACACUUCGGUGUUAGUGGCGCACGGGUGCGUAACGCGUGGGAAUCUGCCCUUGGGUUCGGAAUAACAGUUGGAAACGACUGCUAAUACCGGAUGAUAUCGAAAGAUCAAAGAUUUAUCGCCCAGGGAUGAGCCCGCGUAGGAUUAGCUAGUUGGUGAGGUAAAGGCUCACCAAGGCGACGAUCCUUAGCUGGUCUGAGAGGAUGAUCAGCCACACUGGGACUGAGACACGGCCCAGACUCCUACGGGAGGCAGCAGUAGGGAAUA
rnacentral:rRNA from 1 species